AGCAGCCGCGGUAAUUCCAGCUCCAAUAGCGUAUAUUAAAGUUGUUGCAGUUAAAAAGCUCGUAGUCGAACUUCUGGUUGGCGUAUGCAUGGCUACGGUCGUGUAUGCGUACAGCUAUCCUCUUGAGAACCACCGAGGCCUUAACUGGUCGUUGAUGGGUAUCAGGAAUUUUACUUUGAAAAAAU
rnacentral:rRNA from 1 species